CAGUGGGGAAUCUUGCGCAAUGGGGGAAACCCUGACGCAGCCAUGCCGCGUGAAUGAUGAAGGUCUUAGGAUUGUAAAAUUCUUUCAGCGGGGACGAUAAUGACGGUACCCGCAGAAGAAGCUCCGGCUAACUUCGUGCCAGCAGCCGCGGUAAUACGAAGGGGGCUAGCGUUGCUCGGAAUUACUGGGCGUAAAGGGCGCGUAGGCGGACAGUUAAGUCAGAGGUGAAAGCCCAGGGCUCAACCCUGGAAUUGCCUUUGAUACUGGCUGUCUUGAGUAUGGGAGAGGUGAGUGGAACUCCGAGUGUAGAGGUGAAAUUCGUAGAUAUUCGGAAGAACACCAGUGGCGAAGGCGACUCACUGGCCCAUUACUGACGCUGAGGCGCGAAAGCGUGGGGAGCAAACAGGAUUAGA
rnacentral:rRNA from 1 species